UUAUCUCAACUAUACCUGGUGAGUAAUUAUAGUAUUUUUUAUUGUAAUAGUAAGAUCCUAGGUUUGAUCUCCACUUUCUUUAUCUCGAUUUGUCGAGAAAAAUAUUAAACACAAAAUUUUCAAUUCAUAGCCAUAAAGUAAUUAGUUUUUUUUUUGCACUACCUGGAUUGGGCACAUGAGGUAGGUGACAGGGGAAGGAAGGGUUAGUAGAGAUUCUUGUGUGCUUGUUCAAUGAGAGAUUACUUAAUUAUCCAAUGAGAGGAGCUUCUGCCGUGUUUGAGGAGGCAAAUCGUUCCAGAACUGAGAAAAUUCAAUUCACAGUCAUAAUGCGAUUGGCUUUUUUUUCUUUUUUUUUUUCUGAAGCUGUAACUGGAGUCUCAAUUGCCAAUCUAAAGCUUAACACUACUCAAAUAGGAAUAUUUGAAUUCUGGUUUAUUUCCAAUUGACAAAAAUAAUAUCAGUAUACAAGUCCUUACCGGGUGUAGGAGGCUAAGGGCAGUGCCGGCGUUUUCAAGGGCGUUUGGAAGAGCAUUAGCUGGGAGCUUCCAUCGCCUGAGUGGGGAGCAGCACGACACAGGUGUGAGCAUAUGCACUGGCGCAAGUGAAAUCAAAUUAGAGGAGGUUGCUAUUCUUAAUUACGCCUACACAAAGCUCUUCGACUUCAUCUCAAGGUGAAGGCGUCGGUGAGGAAUCCAAUGCUGGCAGGGAUCGUAGCUCAAAGAGCUCUCUCGUCGUCGUCAUGGCCUGACAAAUACAAGGCUGCUGCUGAACUGCUGGUUGUCGCCGCGGCGGAGAUCAGCAGAAAGGAGUAGUUUCUUACGCGGCGGCGCAGGGCUUGGUUUGAUAUGCGUUGGCCGUAGUGGCUAAUCAUUAUCUAUAUAAUACUCCCUCUAUUCCAAAUUAUAAGUCAUUUUAAAAAAUCUUGGAGAGUCAAAGAUUCU